UUACGACCACAUCACAUUGAAACAUCGGUCCCCGUACGAUCACCAAAGUUAAGCAGCUUCAAGCCUGGUCAGUACCUAGAUGGGUGACCUUUUGAGGAUACCAGGUGAUGUAA